AACAAUGCAUGGAACUUACGCUUAUUUUAACAAAAUUAGAUUUCUUUCCAAUUUUAGAUCAACAUUCAAGGAAAGUAGAGAAGUAUGUCAACAUUCAUGAUCCGUUGAAAAGAAAGAUACUUCGACACCCACUGACAAUCAACAGUAAAAAUACUCAGCUUCUAAAAAUGGAAAUGAACUCUAGCCUACUAUUUAUCAUAUACGCCUUGGUACUAAUAAAUUACGAGCUAUCCGUAGCAGGC